GGAAAACCAGGAAGUCACACCAUUGGUUGCUAGAGUCAAAUCAGCUGCUCUGGCUAGUUAAGUGGGUUUCCACUUCCAUCCUCUUCCCUCUGAUGCCCUGCUUUGUCAAAGAGGAUGCCCUUCUAGGAAUAGAGUAGGACCAGUCUUUAGUCAAAGGUAUUUAAGGAGCCACAUAUCCUGCUAAAACCUCCAAACAAGCUUCUUGAUAAGAACAAUUAUACUGAACGCAGGACAAACACAAAACAAACCUCUUUAAUUCUGAAGUGAGAAGAUAG
rnacentral:snRNA from 1 species